AUGAGCUCUCCUGUCUUCGCGCCCGCCAGCCAGGUCGCGCCGAGGGCGCUCGCUCUGGACCAACCAGACCCCAUUCCUAGCUCGAAGCCGCGGCCUCUCGACUCGGGGCAACCAAAGCCUGAGUCACGGGUCUCGCUUGCUGCUGACGUAGAAGACGACGACGAUGAAGAGGAGCUGGCCCCUUUGACGCCGCUUGCUGUAAAGGGCUCAACCUCGUCGGCCGCUCAGCCGGGCUUGGGGUGUGUGGCGGAGGCGAGUGGAGGAUGGCAGAAGGUGUUGCCCCGACGUGGUCCACGUCACCCCAUGUCGCCAGCCCCGACAAUGGCCCCGUGUCCAAUCCCUGCUUGGCUGCAUGGUAGAUGCUGCAAAUGCCUUGCUCCAGGGCAUCGUGCAGUUGACUGUCGAGAUCCGCUUCGGUGUUGUCGUUGCUUGGAGAAUGGUCACCUUGCACGCGGUUGCCGCAAUCAAUGGCGUCCUCUAAGCUCUUUGGCAUGCCUUGCUAUGCCGCAGGUCCUCGGUAUCGUACAUCGUCCUGCUCCAGCUUCAUGUGAGGGUCCAAUGAAAUCCACGCUCCCUUCCAAGGCGCUUCGCCAUGGGUCUUGGGCGUCUGUCGUGUCUACUUCGGUUGGCUUGGCUACACCGCCCGAUGUGAUGUUACAGUCCGCUUUGGCGGAUCAGACAGCGCUGUUGCAGAUUUGCCUGGCGCGUGUUGGGAGUCUUCUCGAGCGAGCGGAGGCUGCUUUGAGCAGUCUCUCCCUUGCGCCGGCUUUGUCGCAGACCACUCCGAUGUCACGCCCUCCUGGUGUGGCCGAUGUUGGCUCCAUUGAGAAAGGGGACCAAGAGCUAUAUGGAUGUUUCUCCCCUCAUGUUGGGGACAGUUCAUCGUCUCUGUCGGCCUCGUCCCCUAUGUUGUCUACCACUGAGGGUGAGUCCGUCGUCGUGCUUCAGGCUCCGGUGCUGUAG
rnacentral:rRNA from 1 species